UACGUAGGGUGCGAGCGUUGUCCGGAAUUAUUGGGCGUAAAGAGCUCGUAGGCGGUGUGUCACGUCGGCCGUGAAAACCUGCAGCUUAACUGUGGGCGUGCGGUCGAUACGGGCAUCACUGGAGUUCGGCAGGGGAGACUGGAAUUCCUGGUGUAGCGGUGAAAUGCGCAGAUAUCAGGAGGAACACCGGUGGCGAAGGCGGGUCUCUGGGCCGAUACUGACGCUGAGGAGCGAAAGCGUGGGUAGCAAACAGG
rnacentral:rRNA from 1 species